AUUGAACGCUGGCGGCAUGCCUUACACAUGCAAGUCGAACGGUAACAGGUCUUCGGAUGCUGACGAGUGGCGAACGGGUGAGUAAUACAUCGGAACGUGCCUAGUAGUGGGGGAUAACUACUCGAAAGAGUGGCUAAUACCGCAUGAGAUCUACGGAUGAAAGCAGGGGAUCGCAAGACCUUGUGCUACUAGAGCGGCCGAUGGCCGAUUAGGUAGUUGGUGGGAUAAAAGCUUACCAAGCCGACGAUCUGUAGCUGGUCUGAGAGGACGAUCAGCCACACUGGGACUGAGACACGGCCCAGACUCCUACGGGAGGCAGCAGUGGGGAAUUUUGGACAAUGGGCGCAAGCCUGAUCCAGCAAUGCCGCGUGCAGGAUGAAGGCCUUCUGGUUGUAAACUGCUUUUGUACGGAACGAAAAGCCCUGGGUUAAUACCCUGGGGUCAUGACGGUACCGUAAGAAUAAGCACCGGCUAACUACGUGCCAGCAGCCGCGGUAA
rnacentral:rRNA from 1 species